CGCCAGAACUGCUUGAUCCGC
rnacentral:siRNA from 1 species